ensembl:lncRNA
UCCCAGAGCCACUGUCUCCGUGGGAAGCUCCCCAGCAGCAUGCACGAGGCAGAAAGCGGACGCGAUGGCCGCUCGCACUCACUCUUCUCACUGUGACAGUCGGCUCCGCACGGGCGGCAGGGACUAGCCUCUGGGAUCCUCAAACCUUGACUUUGUCUACAGAAUCCACUGUGCCUUCCUCAGACGAGAGGGUCUUUGGUUUUAUUCGAAUUUUCCAAAGAAAAAGGUAAAAUGCAAGACCUCCCUCCUCCAGCCCCGCCGGGUCUCCACUGGGAGCUGGUGAUUCACAGCUGCCCACGCCAGACACCCCACCCCAGGGAGGCCCGGGGCACCCCCCUGGUCCUUCACCACCUCCCCUCUCUAAGCGCCAGCUGCCCAGCGGGUCACCUACCUCGUCUUCAUUUCCUGGGUGCUUCCGGAAGCUCUGGCCCCCUUUUCUGAUUGAUCGCUCUCCAGUUCAUCAGAGGAGCGUGCAGACCCUGGGCCUGAGUCCACUCUGGGCUGGCAGGAGCUCUUGCAGCUCCAUCCUCACUCCCUGGAUUAGUAUUAGGAAAUCCACCCCCACCCCACCCCACAUCCUGCUGCAGCCUCUGGGCGCUGGCCUGGCACGGAACCAGGAGGGGCAGGGGGCACCAUGCCGGCUGGGGAGACGGAGACGGUCCAGCCGGAGCCUUGCUCUGGCCCCAGUGCAUCUAAGGUUUGUCUUCAUUACGUUUGAGCUUGCACCAGGGGUCCCGAACCUCCAGGCUGCAGACCAGUACCUCCAGUCAGAUCAGCGACAGCACGAGAUUAAAGAUAAAGCGCACAGUACACGUGAGGCACUUGAGCCAUCCUGAAACCGUUCCCCUACCCCUGUCCGUGGAAAAGCCGUCUUCCACAAAACCGCUUGCUCCCGGGUGCCACAAAGGUUGAGGUUGCUGCCUUCCACAGCACCUGGAAAUUCUCUGCAGCCCCCCACCUGGGGGACGGGCGGUUCAUGGACUGGGGUUUUGCAUAAAGGACCCUGUUUUCUUCUUUUCAACCCCCAGGAUAUGUUGGGAUUAUAAUCAUAUUGUCAAAAGGAAGGAAAUUGGAAGUCACCCCAGGGAAAAUACUCCAGUCUAUUUGAAUAAUUAGGUAAGGCUGGGCUUUUUGCUGCUGUUGGUUGGUCUUAUUUAAAAAAAAAAAAAAGAUUCUGUGUGUGUGUGUGUGUGUGUGUGUGUGUGUGUUGGGGGCUUUAGCAGAGACCCGCCACAGACACAAGUGUCCACCUCGUCCAGGGCCUGGUUCCGAGGGCAUAAGGCCCCUGGCUCCAUCCACAUGACUCUUGACUUCUCCGAAAGGGCUCAUCUGCUCAGGACCUUGGCCUGUCAUUCUCUCUGCUUGGCUACCAGGAUAUAAAACACUUGGGAGAAAUCACGGAUUUUCUGUCUCUAAAGAUUUCCAGGUUGAGAAAUGGUCCUCUUCAGGUCUGGAGGCUGCACCCUAGACUGUGUGAGCUGUCCGUCUCUUCCUCCAGGGAAUUCUGAGUUCGGCACAGGCCUGGGGGUUCUACAAUGUUUUCCAAGGGAAGCCAUCAGCUACCUGGUGGCUGGGGGGCAGCCAGGGAUUGCGGGAAGGGAGUCUUCCUGCCUCUGAGGGAAGGUUUCUGUCCUGGCAGGGACCCGCACUGGUAAAAUGAGCCUCAGCUCCCAGCCCCAACCAGGCGGUGGGCGCUCUCUCUCGUGUCUGUUUCCAGGAGGGUAAAGACUUUUGCGAUCGCCAGUUGUGCGGUUGGUUUGUGAGUCAUUGUGGAGCACUUGGCCGGGCCGGAGACAGCAAGAAGCAAUUAGUCCUCUGAUCGACGCGGUUUGUCAACAUAAAAGGUUUGGGCUGAAGGGCCGCCAGAUGACACCCACUGCUUGGCACGCCCGCGAUGGCCACAGGCCUUCGUUGUUUAUUCCUCCCGCCUGAAAAACGCCCCGGGGGUGAGAGAAGGGGGCGGGCCCGAGCUGGAGGUGGGGCGCAGCUGCCGUCCAUCUGAGCCCCUCCGCCGGCGGAGCAGAGCCCCUCCCCUCGCGUUAGGGGGCAGGGCUGCUGGGGCCACCUGCUUCCCACUGGGCCAGAGGCCAAUUAUCCAGACGGAGGGACAGCCGGGUCCCCAGGGCAGGGACAGCGAGACACGAGAAAGGGAGUUAAGCGGACGCGCGGAUGGUCAGAGUAAAAGGCCGACUCUUUACCUUCUGAACCACAGGGGAGGCUCCGUGGCCCUUUCUUCAGACAACCUGCUUGCUGUGCAGACCGCCUGGACUCCACCACCUGGAGCUCCUCUUCCAAUGAGGCCGCAGGGCAGUCCCUUCUGUUUGUGACCGACAGCAGGCCGAGCCCAGCCCCCGCCCCGCCCCCGCCCGCCCCGGGACUGCAGGAUUCACUUCCGGCCCUGAAGGAAGGGCUUGUGGGCCUGCCUGCCUGCCUCACCCCUUACCUGUCGGGAGGUCCUGCUUCGGGACCAUACCCGCCUCAUUUGACGGCCGCUUGCGGGGGUCCCCCGCCCGAGUCUCCCGCUCCAUACAACCCCUGAUGGUGUCUUGUGUUGGGCCUGGUUGAUUUCCACACUCUGGUCCCCAGUGUGCAGAGUGCUCCAAGCCGCCUGCUCCCAAGUCUCCAUAUACGACACCAGUGUUUACUUCUGCAAGCUGUCCCCACGGUCAUUGUAGCUGCUUCUGAUCUUUGCUGGGUCUCCUGGUAGCAGCACCGUGGUUUUCCUUUGGGGAGCACUCCUCGGUCGCGCAAACAGCACAGGAUCUGGCCAACUGAUACAUUUCCCUCUCUGGUAUCAAAAUUGGUUCGGGAAUGGGCGUGAGACUAGCGUGGGUCCAGCGAGAGUCAGCCUUGGGACUCAGGCCAGGAAUUCAGAGAGCACGGCGCUCCCUGUCUGCUGGGGCCUCUCAAGUGGAAGGACAAACACGAGCUUCGAAAGACCUCACCAAGGAGAGCCCUCUGGGGCUGAAGCCAGAAGAAUUCAGAGCCUCAAGAGGAGGGGCUGGCGGCGGAGGGGGAGACUGGCCAACCUCUGACGUCACUGGAUCCUUACAUCCAGCUGCCCCAGGUCCCUGGGAGCCAGCAAAUCCUGUCUCUUUUUUCUCUUAAGUCGACUUGACUUGGGUUUUGUUUUACUCAACCCAAAGGAUGCUAAUAACACAGUUCCCAUCCAGGAGGUGGUGGGCAGAUGUGUUCUCAGGACCAGGAGCCCACACCAUGUGAGAGGGAGGCUGGGGAUGGAACCAGUCACUUUGAGAAACAGGACGCAGUGAUAAAGAGAAUCUCAAGUUCCAGUUCUGGAGAAUUCCACAGGUUAGAUGUUUGCAACCAGAGGCCUGGGGGUGUGAGGGCCUUUUCCUAACAGGGCUCUUGGGCCCUGAGGC